AAAAAAAAAAAAAAAAAAAAACAUGAUUGUGCUGAAUUAAUACAUAAACACAAAUAAAAAUGAACUACAGAAAACAGAGACAUUCUAAAAUAUGAAAAUUAACUAACAGCAUCAUAGUCCAACCACAAUUUUCAACAACUUGUCACCAUUACCAUCUGCCCCAAAAUAUCCAAUAAAAGCACACAGAGAAAGGGGGAAAACAAAUUCAGGGUUUUCCUGUUUCACAUGUUCUGAUUUCCAUUUACAAAAAAACAAACAACCUUCUAAAUAACCAGUGUCAGACGCUUGUCCAAUCCAACUGCUGGCAAUCCAAUUAUCCCCCAAACUAUGUACAAAAGAUAUGCAUUAACACUCUAGAGGUCCUAACCCUAAACGACAUCGUUGUGUUUAGAACAGAAAACACUUACCUGAAGAAGAAGACGAUGAAAUGAAACUCUCAAAGAGCUCUCCAUCUUGGGCUAGGCACCGGCAAUGUCGGAGAUACCGGAAACGAAGAUGGUGAGAGCAACAGACCAGGGGAAAACAAAGGGUGCGGUGAUCGCGGCGAGUUCAGGCACCCAAACGGUGGCGGUGACGAUGGCAACUGGAACUGUGGCUGUGACGCUAACAUACCUGAUGUCAGCGAUGGAAGUAUCCCCUGCUGCAGCGGUGUAAAUUGUUGUUGAUUCUGGUGCAGCUGCGGCCGUUGAGGAGGUAGAUUAUUCCAUCGAGGAGAAACCAGCGGCGCUAGCGGCGAGAAUCCCAAAAACUGAUUAUUAGAAUCGAUGCCAGAGAUCGAGUUCUGCAGGAGGCGCAUGUAAGCAGAAACCGGCGACUCGGCCGCCGCGUGGACCCCCGGAAACGGCGGUAACGGUGACAGAGGAGCUGACGGCCGUUGGAUAAAAUUGUUAGUCGAUGUGGCGGUAGGCAUGGGAGGGUUUACGGAGGCGUUGAGAGGUGGCGGCGGAGGUUGAUGAGAAGGAGGGAUGGCGCUGUUUAUCAAGGGAGGCGGGCGGUUGCUAACGUGCGCGAGGGGAGGAGGGCGGAUACGCUGCAAGCGAGUGCUUGGAGGCUUGGGUGGGUGAAUAGGAGGAGGAGUAGAAAACCUCUCGUGGGCAGGAGAUCCGGUGAGUUUCUGAACAACGUCCCUGAAAUCAUUCUUGUUGAUAUUGUAAACCGGCGGCUGAUGCUGCUGCUGCUGCGCCUGCAGAUUCUGCUGCUGUGAAGCCUGUGAUUGCGUUUGCGAUUGAGAUGAAGUAUUGGAAUUAAUAUUAUUGUUAUUAAAGGUGUGAUGAUCAAAAGGAGGUGGAGGCUUCUUGGUGAUGAUGGGUUUAGAGAUCUUAUGGGAAAGCUUAUUGAGGUUUUUGAGGUACUGAUCUCUGGUGCUACUAACGGUGGUGUUACUGCUGCUGCUACCACUGGUGAUGGUAGAAUCACCAGAGGAUUGACAGCUUUUAUCCAUUACAGAAACAAAACCCCCUCUCUCUCUCUCUCUUUCUCUGUCUCUCUCUCUCAAAGUUUUCAACUUUCAAAACCCUCCCUUUCUCUUUUGUCUCUGUGUCUGUCUCCAAGGCAGAGAGUCUUUUUCGUAUGCCCCAGCCUUCUCUUCUUCCUCUGAGUGAUGGGUGUGAGCUUUCUUUACUCUCAGACUUUCCACAUUGCCGUGAUCCUCAUCACCGCCUUCUAUCAUCAUAGGUCCUAGAUUGCACUGACUUAAACGCAUGAGCCCUUUUUCAUUUUUACUCAUUAAUAUGGCCGUUUAAGCCUCUGGGAAUUCAAAGUACAAAAGCAUAACAAAAAACAGUAAAACAAAAGAAACAGAAGGAAAAGCUAUGGCAUGUGAUAAAGUCUCUGAUGUUUCAAACAUGACUGUUUUGCUUCAAAACGACACUCUCCCAUGUGAUUCUCUCUGGAUUCCCACUUCUUCUGCCAUCGUUCAUGGUGCAAAAUCUAUGGUUAACUUUGAGAAUGGUGGUGGUGAAGAGGACACCAUGGAUACGCCAUUCUUCCAGGGUCUUGUUAAAGAAGAAAAUGGCGAUGAGGAUUUUGAUGUGUGCCUUAACCCACCUGGGAAGAAAAGGAGGCUCACAGCUGGUCAAGUUCAAUUUCUUGAAAGAAACUUUGAUGUAGAAAAUAAGCUUGAUCCAGAGAGAAAGAUACAACUUGCUAAGGAACUUGGGUUACAGCCUCGCCAAGUUGCAAUAUGGUUUCAAAAUCGGCGGGCUCGGUUUAAGAACAAACAGCUGGAAAAGGACUAUGAUUCUUUGAAAACCAGCUACGAUAGGCUCAAGGGUGAUUAUGACAAUCUCCUAAAGGAGAAAGAGAAUUUGAAAAAUGAGCUUGUUUCCCUGAAAGCGAAAUUGCUGGCUCGAGAGAAAGGGAUUGGAAAUUUAGAACCAGUUGAAGCCAUCAAUUCACCUAAUGUAGAACUUCAAAACGCAGUUCCUAAAACUGUUUCUGAAGUGGUUUCCAAUGCACCAUUGGUGAUACCCAAACAGGAAGAGGCAACUUCAGCUAAAAGUGAUGUGUUGGAUUCGGAUAGCCCGCAUUCAUUUUUGGAGCCUGGUGAUUCUUCUCAUGUUUUUGAGCCAGACCAAUCAGAUUUCUCACAAGAUGAAGAAGAUGAUCUUAGCAGAAGCUUUUUGCCCACACCAUACUUCCCAAAACUCUACCAUGAUCCGCCUGCAAAUUCAUGUAGUUUUGAAUUCCCAGUGGAAGAUCAACCAUUUUGGUCCUAUACUUACUGAGUUCAUCUCAUGUCAUAUUGCCUGCGAAUUCAAAUCAAGGUUCUCUGUUGUAAUUAUAUAUAUCUUCAAAAGUGCUCGCCUUUACCAUAUCCUGUGCUUGGCUUGUGACUCUUUCCACAAGACUUAUCCUGCGUGGUAGAAGCAGCUUUUAAAUGUGAUCAGACUUCAUUUACGUCCACAUUUGAGAUGCUUCUUUUGAAAAUGGGGUCUUCAAUCUGCUCAAAUCUGUGGCAACAAGCAAGCACAUAAGAGGGUC
rnacentral:misc_RNA from 1 species